AUUGAACGCUGGCGGCAGGCCUAACACAUGCAAGUCGAGCGAGCGGCGGACGGGUGAGUAAUGUAUGGGGACUGCCCGAUCGAGGGGGAUAACUAUUGGAAACGGUGGCUAAUACCGAAUACUAGCGGAUAACCCAUAUGGGAUGAGCUAGUAGGUGGGGUAAAGGCGCACCUGGUCGACGAUCGCUAGCUGGUCUGAGAGGAUGAUCAGCAAGACUGGGGCUGCGAUACAGCCCAGAAUCCUACGGAGGAAGCAGGAGGGAGUAUUGCACAAUGGGCGAAAACCUGAUGCAGCCAUGCCGCGUGUAUGAAGAAGGCCUUAGGGUUGUAAAGUACUUUCAGCGGGAAGGCGUUACCCGCAGAGGAAGCAACGGCUAACUCCGUGCCAGCGGCCGCAGUAAUAC
rnacentral:rRNA from 1 species